AAGGCAUUAGCUCAAUUGGUUGAGCAACCGUUUUACACACGGAAGGUGUUCAAGUCACCUAUUUUUUA
rnacentral:tRNA from 1 species